UACGGGGGGGGCAAGCGUUGUUCGGAAUUACUGGGCGUAAAGGGCUCGUAGGCGGCCAACUAAGUCGGACGUGAAAUCCCCAGGCUCAACCUGGGAACUGCGUCUGAUACUGGAUGGCUUGAAUCCGGGAGAGGGAUGCAGAAUUCCAGGUGUAGCGGUGAAAUGCGUUGAUAUCAUCAGGAACACCGGAGGCGAAGGCGGCUCACUGGGGGUCUUCUGACGCUGAGGAACGAAAGCCAGGGGAGCGAACGGG
rnacentral:rRNA from 1 species